rnacentral:lncRNA from 1 species
GGGUGAAUCCCGGGUAGAACAGAGCAAGAACUGGCUUGAGGAAGACGACCCACCUCGUCAGUCUCGUGUUUCUCUUAGCUCCGAAGCCUCACCCCGGAGGCCACGGACACGCAGCCAGCUCUUUCCUUCCUGACCUUCCCCGCGCGCCCCGCUCCUGGAGGGAGGCGGUGCCGGCGGCGCGCGCACGUGGAGGCAGAGCGGCGCGGCCGGGCGGGCAGGCGGGUGGAGCCGGCGCCCGGGCCCCGCGCCCCCGGAGCUCGGCGGGCGCUUUGUGCGCGGGAGCUGAAUGGAGCUGGUACGUGUGCGCGCGGGCUUGCACGGAUUAGUCGUGCUUUCCCAUGAACUACAAAAGAACGCCCGAAUCUGGGACAUUUGUCAUCAAGGGGCAGGCUGCUCAGGAUGCAAGGUUUUUCUCAUCCUUAUUUGCCCUGCGGAACCUUCGAGAACAUUACAGACCAACUGUCGUUUCAGGGUGGAAAGUUCAGUGCCCCCCCACCCCCCCGCCUACUGCUAUCCCAGGAAUUUUGGACCAGUCCUCGGCAUCCUGAGCAACAAAACAAAGGCCAAAAAGCUGCCAUUUCCUUCUGCUGUGGGUUGAACCGUGUCCUCCAAGAAGAUGCGUUCCAGUCCUAACCUCCACGCCACCUGUGAGUGUGACCUUCUUUAGAAAUUGGGCCUUUGCUGAUGUAAUCACGCUCAGGUGAGGUCAUACUAGAUGAGAGUAGCCCCUCAUCGAGUGAUGGGUUUCAUAAGAAGAGGGAAAUUUGGACAUAGAUACAGACACACAAGGAGACUGUCAUGUGACAAUGGAGACGGAGAUUGGUGGGAUGCUGCCACAAGAUGAGGAAUGCCAAGGAUUUCUGGCAACCACCAGAAGCUGGAAGGCAAGGAAGAGUCCUGUCUGAGAGCUCACUGAGGGAGCGGGGCCCUGCAGACACCUUAAAUUGGGACUGCAUGCCCCCAGCGUGGCGAGAGAAUACAUUUCCAUUGUUUUGGCCCCCUGGUUUGUGGCAGCCCUAGGCAACUACCACAGGGGAACUACCUUCCCCUGAACUUGCACCUGGAGCCUGGGUCUCUAAUACGAUGUUUGCCUUCUGAGGGUUUAUGGAUACCCAUGCUUAUUUCUGAGAUAGGCAAGUUGGAUCAUGUAGAUGACUUCUUACCUCAUGGGAUGCACAGAAUUCCAGAGAAAUGUCAGCAGCCAAAAGCCAAAGUCUCAGU